UGUUCCUUAUUGGAACACAUUUUUUCUAAAGAAUUUAUAAUAAAAAAGAAUUUGAAUUAUAAAGAAAAAAAAUUUUGAAAUUCGAAAUGACGUUCAUAAAAAAUUCCAAAUUGAAGAAGAAUUGAGAAGAAGCUGACCGGGAGCCGUGGACAAAAAAUCAAAAAAGGGUAUUUUGUAUACAAAUGUCGUGGCAUAAUAAUAAUUUAAUGGGUAUAUGCUAAUGCAUAUAAAAAAUUAAAUGAUGUUAAAACCAAACCUAUUGUGAACAUGGUGAGUUAUCGCAAAAAAAUUCAUAAAGACUGGCCAAAUUUCGUCCUCCAUGGACAAAAUUCACAAGGGCCUUCAGCUGAUGACUUCAAAUGGGCAAAUACACAUUCAGACCAUAUAUGAACUGGGCAUUUUAAUGCGUGUAAUGAAAUUGAUUGUAGAAUCUUGAAAGUAGGUAAAAAUCGUGCGGACAGACAAAAGGAUAGACAGAUGGUCGGACAGUCAAUGGCAGUCAGGCAUUUCAAGUGUUACAAACGGAAUUGUAGCUGUGCCAUACCAAAACUAGGCACAUAAAAGGUGAGCAAAUCAUGAAGAAAUGUUGGUGCUCAUAUUGCAAAACAAAAAAAACAC